GUAAAUGUCUCCACUGUACUGUUAGAG
rnacentral:piRNA from 1 species